rnacentral:lncRNA from 1 species
GUUUCAAAUGCAUAUGACCUGCGCUGAGAGGACAACAGGGGGUCAGGAACCUGGGGUUCUCUGGGGGGCAGACUAAGACGACUCCGGGAUCCAGACCCUUCUGCACCUUCAGAUGGGAGCUCCAGGCAGCUAAGGGGCCGAGGAGAAUGGGCAGAGAUCAUGCUACAAGGGGAGGUUCUGGGGAUGAGGCAGUAAUCCCCACCCUCAGUACAGGUCUGGGUUCGCCGAACUCCUUGAGCCUCAGUCCUUUGGCGGUCCCGGGCUAGGGCCACAGCAGCAUCAAAGGAAAGACUACCCCCAUUCCUCCAAGAGGAUCGAGAAGCUCGGGACCCCCAAGCCCUUUCUCCAGGAGUCCCAUCAAGCCGGCCAGGCCUCGGGCAUGGAUUUGCAGGUGCCACAUGAAUCUUGCUACACAUUGCACUGGGCAUCUUGGCAAACUGUGGCUUGGGGGGCACCACAGGCACAGAGCGGACCUGUUGGACCUGAACCAGAGUGGAAGCUAGACGCAUGCCCACGCCACCCAGGCCAAGAGAACAGGGGCAUAGACAGCCGUCUGGACUGGGCUGCCCCUCAGGCUCCAUCUCCUCUGGCUGAGGUGGCUGUGGGGCUACCUCUUCCAUCUCAGAAGAGAUCGCUAGGACUCUGGCUAGUAUG